UAAGGAAUAUUGCUCAAUGGGAGAAAUCCUGAAGCAGCAACGCCGCGUGGAGGAUGAAGGGUCUAUGACUUGUAAACUCCUGUAAAGAAGGAAAAAAUUCCCAUUUGAUGGGAGAUGAUGGUACUUCUGGAGUAAGCCCCGGCUAACUACGCGCCAGCAGCCGCGGUAAUACGUAGGGGGCAAGCGUUGUCCGGAUUUACUGGGUGUAAAGGGUGCUCAGGCGGAUUUGUAAGUCAGAGGUGAAAUCUUACAGCUUAACUGUGAAACUGCCUUUGAUACUGCAAGCCUAGAGUAUGGAAGAGAGUGAUGGAAUAUCUGGUGUAGCAGUGAAAUGCGUAGAUAUCAGAUAGAACACCAAUGGCGAAGGCAGUCACUUGGUCCAUUACUGACGCUAAAGCACGAAAGCGUGGGUAGCAAACA
rnacentral:rRNA from 1 species